rnacentral:rRNA from 1 species
UACAGGGGGGGGCAAGCGUUGUUCGGAAUUACUGGGCGUAAAGGGUCUGUAGGUGGCCAACUAAGUCAGACGUGAAAUCCCUCAGCUUAACUGGGGAACUGCGUCUGAUACUGGAUGGCUUGAGUGUGGGAGAGGAAUGCGGAAUUCCAGGUGUAGCGGUGAAAUGCGUAGAUAUCAGGAGGAACACCGGUGGCGAAGGCGGUUCUCUGGGCAUUACCUGACGCUGAGGAGCGAAAGUGUGGGGAGCGAACAGG